rnacentral:rRNA from 1 species
AUGGCCUUCCAUGUUCUACUUCUUCUCGAUGAUGGCGGCUGGCGUGGACAUGCAGGCUGCCACCUCGUCGACAUCCACGCAACCGGCUUCUUUCUCUACGUGCAUGGCACGGCUAAGCGCGCAUGGACGGCGGAUGGCGCGGUCGCAGGCACUGAAGGUGGCGAUGCCCGUGCCGGGAUGGAGCAACUUGCCACUCCUCCGCAAGCUGGCUUCGAGCGGAUUCGCCGGUUCUCCCAGUUUAGUCAAAGAUUUCAGCAGACGGCCAUAGCUUUGACCAUCCCCUUCUUCCUUCAACAUUUGACGGCCGGCAAGCUCUUGUCCUCAGUGCAGCCAAGGCAGGCGGCCAUGGACGGCGACAGCCCGGUGAUGACGGACAGCGAGCGGAGGGCGUACCGGUACGUGCAGGCGCCCAAGGUGCAGGGCCUGGGCGGCAUCAAGAACUCAUGGUCCAACGACUCCCUCUUCAGCCUCAGCUACGCCGGCGCGGGGGGCAGGGCCGUCGUCCACUCGUGCGUCUGCGCGCCCACCACGCACCCGGGCUCCUUCCGCUGCAAGCACCACCGCCAGAGCGCCGCCCACCUCGGCGUCGCCGGUCACGCGCAAGCGCAGCCCACGGCUGAGGCUAAGCGCAACGAGGUCCACGGAGAAAUGUCGACCGCGGAUGACGAGAAGGCGUCCUGA